CUAAACCGACAUACCCUUACUCCCUCAUACAAAACCCACGGCACCCCUUCCUUCUUCCCUCUCUUUUCUCUUCCUUCCUCUUUUCCCUGUGAAGCCGGCCCUCCCUCACUCACUCACGAGCAGCCACGAGUUCCACCACCAACAGCAACCACUUCUCCUCCUUCCUUUAUUGUUGAAGUUCAAGAUUGCAAGGUCCUUCUAUGGUGAUUGAGGGCCUAUCUCUUACAGGGGAUAGAUCCACUUUCAGGUUGCCAUCUUUAGUGCGGAUGGAUGUGCUGCUCAUUUAUGUGUCAUGUGUUGCGAUAGCGAGGACAUCGUUUUCGGAAGUAUUCACGGAUCGUGAAACAACUUGCGGAUCGCGAGAAAGGAAGGAAAAGCUAAUGUUUUGUGGGAGUAGCAGGUCGCGGCUCGCGGCCCGCGAGUUUCGCGGAUUUUUGCGAGUUUUUCUUCGCAAAGUUAGUUUAUCCGUUUUGUUAGUUUUAAUGUAACUACCAACAGUUAAAUAUGGUUGUUUUAACCAGAUAUGUUGGGAUGGAUUGAUUGAAAGACGACAUUAGUUCGUGAAUCGAUCUCGUGUUUCAUGGAGUAACGUGUUGUUUCGUGAAAUGAUGUAAGCUAUUCUAUAAAUAUAGAAGGCUUGUGUGGUUAUUUUCUACAUGCAAUUUCUGAUUUAUUUUCUUCUGUACCACUUUACAUAGAGAACUUGCAAUCCUCGAUUGUAAAAUUUUCGUAUCUUUUUCCAUUUAAGUUUCUCUUACAUCAUUCUAGAUUCCGUGUGUUAGGAAUUUAGUGUAAUGCUUUGUAUCUCUGAAUAUAUUUCCGGUUUAUUCCUAAGCACCAUAGUAGGGAGAAAAUGAUGUUUUAGGAAAGAGCAUCUCGCGAAAAAUUAAUAUCAAGUUCAAACAAAAUCUUCUUAUUACUUUGUUCGGGAUUGAAGAUCGGUUUCUCGGAGUUUUUGGUGGUUGACAUAAGCAUAGUUCAUGAUUGUCAAAUAUAAUUUGUUUUCUACUACAAACUUGUACUUUAUUUUAUUAUUUAUUUAAUAAAUUAUGUAACAUUUUACAACAGAUUAUAAAAGUAGAUUUUAAUUCAAUUUAGUUGAACUAUUUAGCUACAUUUAUGAUUGUCUCACGAUGAAAUUUAUGAGGGUCACUAAAUUAUGUCUGGCCAAGAUUAAAUGUCAUAUUAUUUUUCUUUAACAAAUAAAUGAAUUUUAUUUGAUAAAUUCUCUUUAGUUAUUACACUUUCUUUAGCCAUAUUCACUAAUUUAUUAUAUUGUAUGAUUGUAAUCUGUUUGCACUAACCAUGUAUGCAAUUCUCAACCCAUAACAUGUUGUAAUUUGUUAGAGACGCUAAAAAAAUUGAAAAUUGUUAAUUUAUAGUAAAAUUAUUAAACUGUAUGAUUAAUAUAAUAGAGUAGAGAAGAUAAUGGAAGAGUAUUCUAGAGGCUUAUGUACUUGUGUAUAAGGGUAUGAAUACAAUAGAUAAUAUAGGCCAACACGACCUUUACAUAGAUUGAAAUAAGUAAAACAAAACCCAAACUCCAAAACAAUAUUCUUGUUCCUAUUGAU